rnacentral:rRNA from 1 species
GAUGAACGCUGACAGAAUGCUUAACACAUGCAAGUCUUUGGCGAAUCUGUGCUUGCACAGGCUAGCCAAGGCGGACGGGUGAGUAACGCGUAAAGAACUUGCCCUGCAGACAGGGAUAACAGACGGAAACGACUGAUAACACCUGAUACAGUUGCCGGCACGCAUGUGCCUGGCAAUGAAAAGAGAUGCUGCAGGAGAGCUUUGCGUCCUAUUAGCUUGUUGGUGAGGUGACGGCUCACCAAGGCGAUGAUAGGUAGCCGGCCUGAGAGGGCGAACGGCCACAAGGGGACUGAGAUACGGCCCUUACUCCUACGGGAGGCAGCAGUGGGGAAUAUUGGACAAUGGGGGCAACCCUGAUCCAGCAAUUCUGUGUGCACGAAGAAGGUUUUCGGAUUGUAAAGUGCCUUCAGCAGGGAAGAAGAAAGUGACGGUACCUGCAGAAGAAGCGACGGCUAAAUACGUG